CCUCACUUAAGGGUUGACCCUUGCUAGGAAGGGGUCUCUGAUUGGAGAUCUUUUCUCUGGGGAAGUUUCUUCUGCAAGCCUAGAUCCUCAGAGACUGUGAUUCAACUGGAAAUUUUCAAGCAGCAGUAAAAUACAAGGUUAGAGUGAUCCAGCUACUGUAUAAAACACAUUCAGGAACAUCUGCAAGUUGGUCCAAAAGGUAUAUGGAAGCCCCAGGGAGAAGACAACUGUACCAUACCUCACAACAACUCCUUGUGCCCCCCAGUCUCCUUGCUGGAUGGACAAUAUGAGAAGCUGAGAAACAGAACUGUUCUUGGCUCCAUGCAGCACUGCUCAGCAACAGCUAGAAACACUGAUUUGUUAUCAGCAUUUUUUUUCUCCUAAGCAUCAUACCAGACACCAUGAAGGAAAAUUCAACUCUGUCCCAGCUGAAACCAGGAAAGAAUUAUAUGAAAUUCUCAGCAUCAUAUACAAUAGAUCCUUUCCUG
ensembl:lncRNA